UUUCACCUAAUUUUCUGUUGACAUGUUAGUAUAGUAUGCUUAUAACUAGUUGAAGGGAUUAAAUUAAGCCUUUAGACGCAAUUUUAAAUUUAACACUAGAAUAGGUUUUUGUUUGGUUUGGUUCGGUUCGGGCUCCUCUCGAUCUUAUUCGUAGUUAGAAGUUAGAAAGGGUUUCUGCAUUUACUAAUGCCGCAAGGAUUACAGGAAGUGGAUGCAGCAACUUUUAGAGAGGUUAGCACUCAUAAUUGGCACAUUGGCGUGCCGACCUCGCUGUCUCGUAACGAAGGUUCUAAGGAUUCGUUCAUCGUGAUUAUUCAGCAUCCUCGUGCGUAUAAUGCCAACAAUCAAUCCAUGCCAAACCCAGCAGAUUUUGGAUCUUCGCCUGCAGAUGAGACAUGACAUUCCUUUUCUUUCCCCUUCAAAGAGGUUACACCAGUUGACAGUUUAUAGAAAAUGUUGACAGCAAAUCCCUUUUGCUAGGCCAGGUAUUAACUUCCAUACGAUUUACAGAAUCAAAUUGUACAUUCUUUUCUAUGUACUUCCACGGUUGUUUACAACUGACAGAUGUAAACUGAUUCCAUACUAAAUGAAGUAUACCUCCCUUUCACUAUAA